AUGAAGUUAUCUACACUAACUUGUGGUGAAGUAACUGGCCUUUGGAUAUUAAGAAAUUAAAAUGAAUUACAGUAAUAGAAAAUAUAAUACUUUGAAAAGCAGGCAUGGCUUUUUCCCUUGCUAAGGACCUGUGAAUGAAGUUGAACAUUGUGCAAUCAUCAGAAAACAUCCCUAAUUCUGACCCUAUGCUGGAAGGAAGGCCACAAGUAAAGCAAGUGAAGAUGGCAGGGCUCAGGAUACUAUUAUGAUGGACUCCUACAUUGAUACCCUGAGACUGAAAUGAAAGACUCUAACACCAACACCAUCUUGCUUUGUCUGAGGUGGAUGAGUUUCUGUUGAAGACCCUGACCUGGAGCCACAGUCAAACUUCAGCUCUUUGCAGUGAUAGGGUCCACUCCCAGGGCUCACCAACAGGCCCCUUUUCCAUAACGUAGCCUCGACGGUGAGCAUGCCUUCAGGGUUCUGAGCCUUCGCGGCCCUGGGGACAAUCUGAUUCUAUGCCAGUGCCACCGAAUGAAGCACAACAGAAUAUUGGGAACAGCGGAUCAACUGUCGGGAGUUCUGUACUUGGCCCGCACUUCCCUCUCCUUCUUUCGGUGUGUGGGAGUUCGUUGCUGAUUCUCGAGUUAGAGAACUCCGGGGAAGAAGAGAGUCACUGUAAAUCAGCGAGUUGUUUGUCUUUGUUGGUCUCCCCUCCACUAUCGAAAUGUCGGGGGAACGAUUAGUUUUUGUUG